rnacentral:rRNA from 1 species
AACGAACGCUGGCGGCAUGCCUAACACAUGCAAGUCGGACGAGACCUUUGGGUCUAGUGGCGCACGGGUGCGUAACGCGUGGGAAUCUGCCCUUGGGUUCGGAAUAACAGUGAGAAAUUGCUGCUAAUACCGGAUGAUGUCUUCGGACCAAAGAUUUAUCGCCCAGGGAUGAGCCCGCGUAGGAUUAGCUAGUUGGUGGGGUAAUGGCCUACCAAGGCGACGAUCCUUAGCUGGUCUGAGAGGAUGAUCAGCCACACUGGGACUGAGACACGGCCCAGACUCCUACGGGAGGCAGCAGUGGGGAAUAUUGGACAAUGGGCGCAAGCCUGAUCCAGCAAUGCCGCGUGAGUGAUGAAGGCCUUAGGGUUGUAAAGCUCUUUUACCAGGGAUGAUAAUGACAGUACCUGGAGAAUAAGCUCCGGCUAACUCCGUG